CCCGAAAAGGGCAGACCUGCCGGGAGGCAGGGGCGCAAAGCUAUGGGGCCCGAAAAAAGGGUAGCCCGGCUGCCGAAG
rnacentral:ncRNA from 1 species